GGUGAGAUGGCCGAGCGGUCUAAGGCGCCAGACUAAGGAGAUCAUCUGUAAUCUGGUCCUCACGGGCGUGGGUUCGAAUCCCACUCUCAUCA
rnacentral:tRNA from 2 species